UACGUAGGGGGCAAGCGUUGUCCGGAUUUAUUGGGCGUAAAGAGCGUGUAGGCGGCCAUGUAGGUCCGUUUGUGAAAACUCGAGGCUCAACCUCGAGACGCCGAUGGAAACCAUGUGGCUAGAGUCCGGAAGAGGAGAGUGGAAUUCCUGGUGUAGCGGUGAAAUGCGCAGAUAUCAGGAAGAACACCCGUGGCUAAGGCGGCUCUCUAGUACGGUACUGACGCUGAGACGCGAAAAGCGUGGGGGAGCGAACAGG
rnacentral:rRNA from 1 species